rnacentral:rRNA from 1 species
AUUGAACGCUGGCGGCAUGCUUUACACAUGCAAGUCGAACGGUAACAGGCCGCAAGGUGCUGACGAGUGGCGAACGGGUGAGUAAUGUAUCGGAACGUGCCCAGUCGUGGGGGAUAACGCAGCGAAAGCUGCGCUAAUACCGCAUACGAUCUAUGGAUGAAAGCGGGGGACCGUAAGGCCUCGCGCGAUUGGAGCGGCCGAUAUCAGAUUAGGUAGUUGGUGGGGUAAAGGCUCACCAAGCCAACGAUCUGUAGCUGGUCUGAGAGGACGACCAGCCACACUGGGACUGAGACACGGCCCAGACCCCUACGGGAGGCAGCAGUGGGGAAUUUUGGACAAUGGGCGCAAGCCUGAUCCAGCAAUGCCGCGUGCAGGAAGAAGGCCUUCGGGUUGUAAACUGCUUUUGUACGGAACGAAACGGUCCUGGUUAAUACCUGGGGCUAAUGACGGUACCGUAAGAAUAAGCACCGGCUAACUACGUGCCAGCAGCCGCGGUA